UUAAAACCAUUUUUCCUAUCAUUUUUUUUCAAACGAGAAUGAUCCAAAUUCAUAUCCAACACAAACCAAAAUACAUCUACAAUAUAUAAACCAAUUAUCCAAAUUUCAUAUCCAUUUACAUCCACCAGUAGAUACCAAUACACACUCCAAACCAUUAUCCACUAUAAUCCCAAAGUCCAUCCAUAUACCCAAGUAAGACAAAAUGGAAAAAAAAGAAGAAAUCAGUGGAGAAGAGCUAAAGCUGCAACAUUAUAAAGUGGCCAAAACGCAGGAAAGCACGUGCAAUGAAGUAAGAAGCAAAAACUCAGAGUACAUAGCAGGAAAAAUCGCCAAGCUGCCGUCCAAGCCAUAACGAACCAUCAAUAAUUCAUUGACUCUUCAGAAUGAGUAGUAGUACAUAAUGGCAAGUUUAACAUUCCACAUAACCAACUAACGGCAAUACAACAACUAACCAACCUUUCAAAAACGCCAAUUGACAUUGAAAACUCAGCAUAACAAGACCUUCAAAGGCCAAUGGUUCACAACCUGCACAAUAGUUCAUAAAUCAAACAAUAAUCCAUUAGUGGCGGACCUGCAAAGCAAUGCUGAACAACAACCAUACAUCACCUCCAUUUCAGCAAUACAAGGCAUGGCAUCCCAAAGACUCAUAAUCAUAACUGGCAAAUAGAAUUAACCAACCGACAACCAAAAUCCCUAACCAACAUCUAACUGAAUUUCCAAAUUGCAACUAACUUCAGAAUAGAAUCAUAACAGAUUCUAACCGAAAAAUCCACUUCAACGCAACUAUCAAAAGCCUACCUAUAACUGUUUUCUUCUAAGAACUCUCAGGAGGGACCUUCAUAAUUUCUCAACCCGAAAAUCAACCACCACUUCACCAGAAUUUUUCCAACUCACUCAACCAAAAACCUCCCUUCACCAUUUGAAUAGCUUCCAAAUGCAAAGAAACCAAUUCCGCCCUAUUAAAAAUUUCUAUAACAGAAGUAAGUAGAAAAGGUCAUAUAACUAAAAGUCCCUAACAAAAGAAAACUCCCAAACAGAACUAUAAAUUUCUAACCUCACAAAUCCAAAACAGAAUUAACUAACCCUGCCCAACAAGUAACAAACCUGACCGACUCCCGAUUCAGUUAGUCUCCCAUCCUCUAUAAAAUCGAGUCAGUAUACCAUUCAGCGGGGUCUCCUCCAUUUUUCUGCAGAGCCCUCAUCAUUUCCUUCAUUGUUUAUCUCUGAACAAAAUGAAGAACGACUGAAACUCUUUCAAUCUUGAAUUCAUUCUCGUCACCUGCAAAUCCAAUUCUGGAGUUAGCAACAGAAAACGCAGGUACGCAAAGAGAGAGUAUUCGAUGCACAAUUCCAAUUACGGCAUCCGUCACAACACACCACAACAAUGCAAGGUCAUCAC
rnacentral:lncRNA from 1 species